UAAGACAGAGGUUGCAAACGUUGUUCGGAAUCACUGGGCAUAAAGCGCACGUAGGCGGUCUGUUAAGUCAGGUGUGAAAGCCCCCGGCUCAACCGGGGAAUUGCAUUUGAUACUGGCAGGCUCGAGAACGGUAGGGGUGAGUGGAACUCCAGGUGGAGCGGUGAAAUGCGUAGAUAUCUGGAGGAACACCGGUGGCGAAAGCGGCUCACUGGACCGUCACUGACGCUGAGGUGCGAAAGCUAGGGUAGCAAACGGGAUUAGAUACCCCGGUAGUCCUGGCCCUAAACGAUGAAUGCUUGGUGUGGCGGGUAUCGAUCCCUGCCGUGCCGAAGCUAACGCAUUAAGCAUUCCGCCUGGGGAGUACGGUCGCAAGGCUG
rnacentral:rRNA from 1 species